rnacentral:rRNA from 1 species
AACGCUAGCUACAGGCUUAACACAUGCAAGUCGAGGGGCAGCAUGAACUUAGCUUGCUAAGUUUGAUGGCGACCGGCGCACGGGUGAGUAACACGUAUCCAACCUGCCGAUGACUCGGGGAUAGCCUUUCGAAAGAAAGAUUAAUACCCGAUGGCAUAGUUCUUCCGCAUGGUAGAACUAUUAAAGAACUUCGGUCAUCGAUGGGGAUGCGUUCCAUUAGGUUGUUGGCGGGGUAACGGCCCACCAAGCCUUCGAUGGAUAGGGGUUCUGAGAGGAAGGCCCCCCACAUUGGAACUGAGACACGGUCCAAACUCCUACGGGAGGCAGCAGUGAGGAAUAUUGGUCAAUGGACGAGAGUCUGAACCAGCCAAGUAGCGUGAAGGAUGACUGCCCUAUGGGUUGUAAACUUCUUUUAUACGGGAAUAAAGUGAGGCACGUGUGCCUUUUUGUAUGUACCGUAUGAAUAAGGAUCGGCUAACUCCGUGCCAGCAGCCGCGGUAAUACGGAGGAUCCGAGCGUUAUCCGGAUUUAUUGGGUUUAAAGGGAGCGUAGGCGGACGCUUAAGUCAGUUGUGAAAGUUUGCGGCUCAACCGUAAAAUUGCAGUUGAUACUGGGUGUCUUGAGUACAGUAGAGGCAGGCGGAAUUCGUGGUGUAGCGGUGAAAUGCUUAGAUAUCACGAAGAACUCCGAUUG